rnacentral:rRNA from 1 species
UACGGAGGGAGCUAGCGUUAUUCGGAAUUACUGGGCGUAAAGCGCACGUAGGCGGCUUUGUAAGUCAGAGGUGAAAGCCUGGAGCUCAACUCCAGAACUGCCUUUGAGACUGCAUCGCUUGAAUCCAGGAGAGGUGAGUGGAAUUCCGAGUGUAGAGGUGAAAUUCGUAGAUAUUCGGAAGAACACCAGUGGCGAAGGCGGCUCACUGGACCGGUAUUGACGCUGAGGUGCGAAAGCGUGGGGAGCAAACAGG